rnacentral:rRNA from 1 species
AUCCGAUACGAACGAGACUCUAUCCUACUAAGCGGCGAGGCUAUUAGACGGCAGGAUCAAUGGCAAGCGAGUAUUCACGGGUAUGAGGCUUCGCGAGGGCAUUGCCGUGGAUCGUGCGUGUGUGCGUUGGGUGUGCGUUCGUACGCGCGACUCCCCUCGUCGGGCAACCGGUGUUGCGGAUAGUGUGUGCGUUUCGUGUGCUCUCGCGCGCGUGCGCUUUCUACUUCUCCUUCGCGAGUCAAGUCCUCUUAUCCAGCUCGCAAGUCCGCCGUGGCUGCGCGUGAGUUCGAGUAAUGCGCGCCCGCGUCGAUUGCGCGUGGCUCCUCACGGGGUCUCCGCUUUCUACCUCGCGUGCUGUCUCUCGUUCUUGCGCGUAGACAAACGUUGUUUCUUCUUAGAGGUAUUGACGACUCUACAUAAGUCGUACGAGAGAGAGAGCAAUAACAGGUCUGUGAUGCCCUUAGAUGCCCUGGGCCGCACGCGAGCUACAAUGCCGGGUACAGCGGGUAUAACUUCCUUCUCCGAAAGGAGCGGGUAACCCUCUGAAAGCCCUUUCGGUGCUUGCCCUAUCAUUGGGCAAGCAUCUAGGCUCGCUUGGGCCUGGGGUUUGCAAUUGUCUCCCACAAACGAGGAAUGCCUUGUAUUGACAGGUCACUGAGCUUGUAGCGACUCAGUCCCUGCCCUUUGUACACACCGCCCGUCGCUACUACCGAUUGAGUGUACCAGUGAGAUUCUUGGACUGGCGAACCUUUUCCAGUCGCCUCUAUGCGCGGCUGGAGACGGCGAACGACGGGAAGAGACCCGAACUGGUGCACUAGAGGAAGAAA